CAAUAGCGUAUAUUUAAGUUGUUGCAGUUAAAAAGCUCGUAGUUGGAUUUCGGGUGGGACGCAGCGGUCUCGCAUUGCGUUUGUACUGCUGCAGCCCUCCUUCUUGCCGGGGGCGGCCUCUCGGACUUCACUGUCUGGGGGUCAGAAUCGGCUAUGUUACUUUGAGUAAAUUAGAGUGUUCAAAGCAAGCUUACGCUCUGAAUAUAAUAGCAUGGGAUAACACGACAGGACUCUGGCCUAUCGUGUUGGUCUAUAGGACCAGAGUAAUGAUUAAGAGGGACAGUCGGGGGCAUUCGUAUUCCGUUGUCAGAGGUGAAAUUCUUGGAUUUACGGAAGACGAACAUCUGCGAAAGCAUUUGCCAAGGAUGUUUUCAUUGA
rnacentral:rRNA from 1 species